CGCGAAGAACCUUACCUGGUCUUGACAUCCACGGAACUUUCCAGAGAUGGAUUGGUGCCUUCGGGAACCGUGAGACAGGUGCUGCAUGGCUGUCGUCAGCUCGUGUCGUGAGAUGUUGGGUUAAGUCCCGCAACUAGCGCAACCCUUGUCCUUAAUUGCCAGCACGUAAUGGUGGGAACUCUAAGGAGACCGCCGGUGACAAACCGGAGGAAGGUGGGGAUGACAUCAAGUCAUCAUGGCCCUUACGACCAGGGCUACACACGUACUACAAUGGUGGGGACAGAGGGCUGCAAACCCGCGAGGGGAACGCGGUGUGUACAAGGCCCGGGAACGCGGUGUGUACAAGGCCCGGGAACGUGUAGCUCUCGGUAAGGUUCUUCGCG
rnacentral:rRNA from 1 species